rnacentral:rRNA from 1 species
CCUACGGGAGGCAGCAGUGGGGAAUAUUGCACAAUGGGCGAAAGCCUGAUGCAGCAACGCCGCGUGAAGGAAGAAGGCCUUCGGGUCGUAAACUUCUGUCCGUGGGGAAGAAGAACGGACGGUACCCAAGGAGGAAGCCCCGGCUAACUACGUGCCAGCAGCCGCGGGAAUACGUCGGGGGCAAGCGUUAUCCGGAAUUAGUGGGCGGAAAGAGUACGGAGGUGGCAACCGAAGCGCAGGGUUUAAGGCAAUGGCUCAUCCAUUGUUCGCCCUGCGAACUGGGAUGCUUGGGUGCAGGAGAGGCAAGCGGCCUUCCUUGUGUUGCGGUGAAAUGCGUAGAUAUUCGGAGGACCACCAGUGGCGAAGGCGGCUUUCUGGACUGUAACUGCCACUGAGGUACGACAGCGUGGGGAGCAAACAGGAUUAGCUACCCCAGUAGUC